GGUCAUUUAGAGGAAGUAAAAGUCGUAACAAGGUUUCCGUAGGUGAACCUGCGGAAGGAUCAUUACAGUAUUCUUUUUGCCAGCGCUUAAUUGCGCGGCGAAAAAACCUUACACACAGUGUUUUUUGUUAUUACAAGAACUUUUGCUUUGGUCUGGACUAGAAAUAGUUUGGGCCAGAGGUUACUGAACUAAACUUCAAUAUUUAUAUUGAAUUGUUAUUUAUUUAAUUGUCAAUUUGUUGAUUAAAUUCAAAAAAUCUUCAAAACUUUCAACAACGGAUCUCUUGGUUCUCGCAUCGAUGAAGAACGCAGCGAAAUGCGAUAAGUAAUAUGAAUUGCAGAUUUUCGUGAAUCAUCGAAUCUUUGAACGCACAUUGCGCCCUCUGGUAUUCCAGAGGGCAUGCCUGUUUGAGCGUCAUUUCUCUCUCAAACCUUCGGGUUUGGUAUUGAGUGAUACUCUUAGUCGAACUAGGCGUUUGCUUGAAAUGUAUUGGCAUGAGUGGUACUGGAUAGUGCUAUAUGACUUUCAAUGUAUUAGGUUUAUCCAACUCGUUGAAUAGUUUAAUGGUAUAUUUCUCGGUGGNCNAGGCUCGGCCUUACAAUAUAACAAACAAGUUUGACCUCAAAUCAGGUAGGACGGGGGACGCUGAACUUAAGCAUCNCAAUAAGCGAGNGGAAA
rnacentral:rRNA from 1 species